UGUGGCCAGAACUCUUCGGGUCUGAGGACACUGUUCACCUCCGUAUGUGGUAGGCUUUCUUCCAGCUUUUUAUUGAAAUCUCAAACUAUGUCUUGAUUAGAAGACAAACCCUAAACGUUUUCUCUAGGGGAAACAAGAACGUGCAAAGCUUCUGGACUUGGAUCAAAAUGACGAAAAUUGUUUUUCAGACAUUCUGCAUUUCCUGGGAGGUGAAAAUAAAGCUGAACCCAGACAGAACUGAGAACUCUGUGGCCAGAAGCUGGUGUUCUGAGGGCUGAUGUCACACAGCCCAGUGGGUCUCCAAGCCCCAGAACAUACCCGUCCCUCCCUUGAGCUCUGGUACAAGACAGCACGUCUGGAAGUCAGCUCAGGGCGCCUGGACUCAGGGAGGUGUUGCUACCAUUCAAAUCGUUGGCUUUUCUCCAGGAGUCACUUCUCUUCUCUCCAGGGAUUACCAAGCUUUUGAAGGGACCCACUCCUCAAGGCUCAGAGUGUUUGAUUAAAUUGCUCGUUCCAGGUGUGCGCUUGGCCACAAGAUGAUACUUGAGAGGCUUGACUUCAAGAUUAUGAUCACCGUUGCGGGCGGCCUCCUGAUGGCCGCGAGCCUGCUGAUGUGCUUUAUCAUCUGUCUUAGCUACAAAGUGACAAAGUCAAUGAACGGAGAGAAGAUGGAAAAUGUAACAAGCACUGACGCUGACAAAAAAGAUAAGAAACCCACUUUGGAAGCAGGUCAACCUGAGGUUCCGCCAACUCCAGCGUCAAAGCCCCGGUGACAGUCUUGGAGAGAGAUGCCCUGGGGACCCUCAGUCCAGACAGGUGGGGCCCCGGCGUCUCCCGGCCACAGUGCUGCCUUGGGAAGCACAGUCAGCCCGGCUGCCUCCCGACUCUGUCCCUUCAGUGUCCACGGUCCCUCGAGGGUAGGAGCCGCCUCUCACCCCUGGGGUCCCCGCACACAGCCCAGACUCCUUAGGUGUCAGGGGUAAUAACCCCCUGUCACCUUUGCACCAGAUAAACCUCUCAGACACAGCAGUAAAUCAUGAAUAGCAUUAAUUUUGCUGACUGGGAAGAGUAUGUUACGCAUUAGGAUGUUUAGUAAAAUAAUUUCCUGCUAGUUUAUUUUCUGAAAACCCAUAUAUAUCACAAUGUCUUUAUUUUACCACCCACUCGCAUUUAACAUAAUUGCAUCAGCAUUUAACGUAAUAGCUGGCAUGGGGCUAUUAUCUUAACUCAUUAAGUGAGUUACUAUAUGUAACGAAUGAGUUAAAGCCCCUAAAAUGUGGAAUGGUGCCUGAGAACACAUCCUGUAAUUAGGAGCUCAGCUAAGAGGUCUAAAGGAAACAUCUUCAACUCACUGCUGACCACCAGGGCCCGAGGCCCAGCCCUAGUUCAGCACACAGAUUCCUGCCCAAUGCUGUACUCUUCUCAGAGGUCUUCCUUCACCAGCACUCUGGGAGUGGGCUGGGGUGGGCACACGAGAGCCCAUGUCGGGGGGGAACACAGCACAGCAAACCCUCCCCAGCACCCGUGUGGAACGCCUGCUCCCUGCUCUCUCCUCUCCCACCCCACGUUCUGUCCCUUCUGAUCCUUAAGAAGG